rnacentral:lncRNA from 10 species
GCUGACUCUCUUUUCCGACUCAGCCCACCUGCAGACCCAUCUGACCUCUCCCCUCCUCGCCAGACUGAGCUAGGUCCCAAUUCUUCCUCAGCCUCUGCUCCUCCACCCUAUAAUCUUUUUAUCGCCUCCCCUCCUCACACCUGGUCGGGCUUACAGUUUCAUUCCAUGACUAGCCCUCCCCCACUUGCCCAGCAAUUUACUCUUAAAAAGGUGGCUAGAGCCAAAGGCAUAGUCAAGGUUAAUGCUCCUUUUUCUUUAUCCCAAAUCUGAUAGCGUUUAGGCUCUUUUUCAGCAAAUAUAAAAAUCCAGCCCAGUUCAUGACUUGUUUGGCAGCAACCCUGAGAUGCUUUACAGCCCUAGACCCUAAAAGGUCAAAAGGCCAUCUUAUUCUCAAAAUACAUUUUAUUACCCAAUCUGCUCCCGACAUUAAAUAAAACUCCAAAAAUUAAAUUCUGGCCCUCAACCCCACAACAGGAUUUAAUUAACCUCGCCUUCAAGGUGUACAAUAAUAGAAAAAAGUUGCAAUUCCUUGCCUCCACUGUGAGACAAACCCCAGCCACAUCUCCAGCACACAAGAACUUCCAAACGCCUGAACCGCAGCGGCCACGCGUUCCUCCAGAACCUCCUCCCACAGGAGCUUGCUAUACGUGCUGGAAAUCUGGCCACUGGGCCAAGGAAUGCCCGCAGCCCAGGAUUCCUCCUAAGCCGCGUCCCAUCUGUGUGGCACCCCACUGAAAAUUGGACUGUUCAACUCACCUGGCAGCCACUCCCAGAGCCCCUGGAACUCUGGCCCAAGCCUCUCUGACUGACUCCUUCCCAGGUCUUCUCGGCUUAGCGGCUGAAGACUGACACUGCCCAAUCGCCUCGGAAGCCCCCUAGGCCAUCACGGAUGCCGAGCUUCGGGUAACUCUCACAGUGGAAGGUAAGCCCGUCCCCUUCUUAAUCAAUACGGAGGCUACCCACUACACAUUACCUUCUUUUCAAGGGCCUGUUUCCCUUGCCUCCAUAACUGUUGUGGGUAUUGACGGCUAGGCUUCUAAACCUCUUAAAACUCCCCAACUCUGGUGCCAACUUAGACAAUACUCUUUUAAGCACUCCUUUUUAGUUAUCCCCACCUGCCCAGUUCCCUUAUUAGGCCGAGACACUUUAACUAAAUUAUCUGCUUCCCUGACUAUUCCUGGGCUACAGCUAUAUCUCAUUGCCACCCUUCUUCCCAAUCCAAAGCCUCCUUUGCGUCCUCCUCUUGUAUCCCCCAACCUUAACCCACAAAUAUAAGAUACCUCUACUCCCUCCUUGGCGACCGAUCAUGCAUCCCUUACCAUCUCAUUAAAAUCUAAUCACCCUUACCCCACUCAACGCCAAUAUCCCAUCCCACAGCACGCUUUAAAAAGAUUAAAGCCUGUUAUCACUCGCCUGCUACAGCAUGGCCUUUUAAAGCCUAUAAACUCUCCUUACAAUUCUCCCAUUUUACCUGUCCUAAAACCAGACAAGCCUUACAAGUUAGUUCAGGAUCUGCGCCUUAUCAACCAAAUUGUUUUGCCUAUCCACCCCGUGGUGCCAAACCCAUAUACUCUCCUAUCCUCAAUACCUGCCUCUACAACCCAUUAUUCUGUUCUAGAUCUCAGACAUGCUUUCUUUACUAUUCCUUUGCACCCUUAAUCCCAGUCUCUCUUCACUUUCAUUUGGACUGACCCUGACACCCAUCAAGCUCAGCAAAUUACCUAGGCUGUACUGCCGCAAAGCUUCACAGACAGCCCCCAUUACUUCAAUCAAGCCCAAAUUUCAUCCUCAUCUGUUACCUAUCUCAGCAUAAUUCCCAUAAAAACACACUUGCUCUCCCUGCCAAUCGUGUCCGACUGAUCUCUCAAACCCCAGCACCUUCUACAAAACAACAACUCCUUUCCUUCCUAGGCAUGGUUAGUGCGGUCAGAAUUCUUACACAAGAGCCAGGACCACACCCUGUAGCCUUUCUGUCCAAACAACUUGACCUUACUGUUUUAGCCUAGCCCUCAUGUCUGCGUGCAGCGGCUGCCGCUGCUUUAAUACUUUUAGAGGCCCUCAAAAUCACAAACUAUGCUCAACUCACUCUGUACAGUUCUCAUAACUUCCAAAAUCUAUUUUCUUCCUCAUACCUGCCGCAUAUACUUUCUGCUUCCCGGCUCCUUCAGCUGUACUCACUCUUUGUUGAGUCUCCCACAAUUACCGUUGUUCCUGGCCCAGACUUUAAUCCGGCCUCCCACAUUAUUCCAGAUACCAUAUAAUCUCUAACUAUGUUGUCUUGACAUAGUCUGUUUUAUGGCUACAAGCAUUCUGUGACAUAAGCUAUUUAAUUCACACCCUGUUGCUCAGUGAAUAUUUGAGAAAUAUAAAUGCACAAUAAACAUCUAUCAAUUGAAACAAAUAAUGUUUACAACUGCUUUUGCUCACUUAAAAAUAAACAAAAUAAUGAACAUAUUUCACCUCCAAGUAUUCUAUUAUUUGUAACUAUUUUUUCAUCAUUCAUGACUCAUUUUGUUGUCCUUUAAUAUCAUUAAGUUGCCAGUGGGGAGUCUGAGCUGAAAUGCCUGCCAAGGAAGAUAGGACUACAUUUUAAUGAAAUCAGCAAAAGUGAGCCUCAGUGCAUUUUUAUCAUAAUUUAAGGCCUAGUUGAGGUAUGAUAAAUGAUCCUCAUCCCUGAUCAGUAUACUACCUGAGCAGUGAUACAUCAUUUAUGUCUUGCCAUUGUACUUUUGGAACUGCCAUGGGGGUAGCAAAUGUGCAAUAAAUAUUGCUCGAUGAAUUAUAUAUUUCAGAAAAAUUCAAUGUGUUAGAAAAAUAAGCAGCAAAUUUAUAAGUGGCUUAGAAUACUACAGUAAAAACAACUUUAUUGACCAGCCUUGGCUCCAUACCUUAUGUUAUGGUUAAAAAAAAUCAGAUAUGUUGAAUGUUUACUGUUAAAUAUGAAAUUAGAACACAGGUUGUUCACUUAAUAUAUUCAUUCCACAAGCAUUUAUUGAGUGAUUACAAUGUUCCAGGCAGUGUACUAAGUAUUAUAAUUGAAUUAAAAGACAAAUUCUUCUCUGAUGGCCUUUGGAAUUACUAGGAGUGGCUGAAAAUUUAGUGAUAAUUGCAAUGUAGAUUAAAUGAAAAGAGCUCCCAAGAAAAGUUACAUACAAGGUACAACAGGGACAUAGGAGAUGAAACUUAAGUCAUUCUGUUGGGAUCAAGGAAAGGAUUCAUGCAAACAACAUAGGUUGAGAGGCAAGUAGGUGUAAUCUAAAGGGAUAUAUCCAAAAAAAAAGUUGAAAUAACUAGGCUUUGAUCAUGGUGCAACUUGUGUAUUCAAGUAAGGCAUAUGGAUUUGAAAACAAAAGAGAAUCAUUAAAGUAUUUUAAACAGAGAAGUAAUACAAUAAUGCAGUAAUACAUAUUCUGUUCAGAAAAAUGGUUCUGGUGCAGUAUGGAGGUUGGAUUGGAGCAGGAAGAGAGGAAUAGGCUGAAAGCAGAACAACAAUUAACAUGCUUUUGUGGAUAUCUAGGCAAGAAAUGAUAAGGAGC